rnacentral:lncRNA from 1 species
GGGAUUUAAAUUUUGAGUUAAUUUCGGCAAGCAUGACAUUUAAGUUGUUUAGACUUGUGAAACUUUGGAAUUGAAUUGUAGAGGCCCAAUUUAGCCCGGGCCCAUAAACUAGAAACCUAAUAACAAAAAUAUAUAUAUAAAGUCCACAAGUCCAUUUUACAUAGCCCAAAAUCCAAACCCAUUUACAAUAACCCAAUUCUAAACCCAACUACCUUAGCCAAAAAAUUCAAAGCCCAAAUGGCCCAAAAUGUUUUAGAAACAGAAACUAGGGUUUCCCUUGCACCGCAGUUGUUCUCCCAACCCUCGUACAACCUCCAGUGCGCCUCCAUACGACCUUCACGCACCACCCCACCACCUUGCCUCUGUAUCUGCAAAAUAAGACAAGCAAAGGACGGACACAGCAGCAAGAGCAAAAACCAAGCAAAAACUUUGUAAUUUUUCUUUUUUGUGGUGGCUAUAAAAAGCCAAGAAAUAUCAAUGUAAAGCUCUCUUUUUUUUUACGCAUACAAGGAAAUCAAUACAAAAAAAAGGGGAAUCAAGGUGGUCUUUUGGUUCUGUUUUCCAUUUCCUUUGCAAGUUUAUUUUCGAAUAUAGCACAUACAUGUAUAGAUAUUCAAAGAAAACAUAAAAAAAGGUUACCUUUUUGAGAUUGGGGAAGGGAACUGAGGGGUUGUUUGUUUGAUUUUACUUUUAAAAGGCUUUCUCUAGAACUUUGGGGUUUUAAAUCGGGGGGAGGGAGAUUGAAAAAAGGAAUCAAAAUUGAAAAGGUGAUUUUGGAAUAAAAUACUUUUAAUUUCUUCUUUUUUCUUUCGAUUCCAUUAGUUUUUCGCAUUUAAAAACAAAGAGAAAACAAUAGAUUUACCUUGCGGAUGUGCUAAGAGAUUCCGUCUUCUUUGUUGAAACUGAAGCGUAGAAGGAAUCUCGUGGUCGAGAUUGUCGUCCCCCGAAGCCCGAAUCUAUUCGUCACCAUUGAUAGAGGCAGAUCGGUGCUUAAGAGAGGGGUGUUAGGAUCGAUUGAGGGAAAAUCAAGAGAGGUUCGGGUUUUGAUUUUCUUAGUCGGCCAAAUGAAGAUAGAUAUGGUGAAGGAUUUCCUUCAUUUGUUGUGGAAAGUGGCAGAGUGCCAUUCAAACGUUUUUUAGGGUUUAAUUAAGCGUGCUUAAUUGUUUUGGGGUGAAUUGCGCAUUUAGUCCCUCCUUGUUUUGCUGUCAUCUGAUUGAGUCCCAUUUAUGUUUUUUUUUGCUUUUUAAUUCUUUCCUAAAACUUAUGCACUUUUUUAAUUUGAUCCAUGUUUACAUUAUGCGUUCAGAAACCUGGAAUAAUUGCGUUUUUUGUCCUUGCACGUUCACGCGCAUUGCCCUUUGGUCCUUAUUUCUAUCUUAAUAGUUUAUUUUAUUUAUUAAUUAUACCUUUUAAUUUGAUUUUAUUUCAAUUAAGUUUUUAUUUCAAUUUAUAUAAUUCAUUAUUUUUAUUCAUUGAGCAUUUAUCUUUUAAAUUUUAUUUAUAUACCUUUGGAGUUACUUGGAUAAGUUUACUUCGUUUUUUUUAAUUAUAAAAUUAUUAUUUUAAAAUUCUCUUUUGUAUCAUAUUAUUUUAAAUUUUGGUAUAAUCUUUAAUUUAAAUUACCUUUAUAUUAAUAUAUAUAUAAUUUAUAUUAAAAUUAGCUUUAUUUUAUAAACAUUAUUAAUUCUAUGUUAUUAUAUAUAUAUAAUUUCUUUUAAAUUUGUUUAUUUGUAUUUCCUUUUAAAUUUAUUGUUAUUCUUUAAAAAAUAUAUUUUAUUAUUUCUUUGUUAUUUAAGAUCCUUACAUGUAUAUAUUGUUUUACUAUAUAUUGGUUCGUUAUUUCUUCAUGUAUAUUUUUCUUUAUUUUAUUAUAUCUUCAUUAUAUAUUGUUCACAUUGAUUUUUUUAUUGCAUGUAUAUUAUCACCUUUAAAUAGAUAUGUUUUGUUUUUAAAAUAUCUUUGUAUGUUAUUUGCUCUAAAUUUCUUCUUUCACAAUAUUUAUUUUAUUCAUUUACAUAUUCUUAGUUUUAUUUUCAUAUAUGCAAAUCUUUUCAAACCCUAACAUGCGUUAUUCAUUUAUAAAUUUUUCAUAUAGUUUUUGAAUUGUUUUGUAUUAUAUUGGCUCUUAGUAUCCAUAUUGCUUUGUAUAUUAUGUGUUGCAUUUUAUCUUUCAUAUUAUUUUAUAUAUUAUUAUCUUAUAUUAUUUAUUCUUUUUUUUAUUAUAUCAAUUGUUAUUCAUCCAUGCUUAGGAGUUUGGUUAUAUUUUUUGAGGAUUAAUUAUUAUUAGAUUAAUUGGUUUCUUUAGGUUAUAUUAUCUUUAUUCACCAAGUUUUGUACUUUAGUUAUACAUGUUAUCCCAUGUUCAUUAUUUCUCUUUUUUAUUUUGAAUCAAAUAAAUGUGUUUUGAGCUAGUUUACAAUUUUUCUAAACUAAGGCAAUGUUCAAUAUUUGGAAAUUUAAAGAAUCGUGCCCUACCGUGUUGGGCUUCGAUUCUUCGUUGGACUAAAUAAUUGGACAUCUUUUUGUAAUUUUCAACGUAUAGGCUUUCGGGGGUCAAAAAUCAAUCGUAUUUUAAAAGGUAUGAAGAAUCUUAUCCAAUCGUGCUGGAUAUGAUGCUAUAUAGCUUUGAAACAAGAGAAUUUUGAUGACCAACUUGAGCGAUUCAAAUGUUUCAAAAUGAACCAUAUUUCAAAAAUCACUUUAAAACUUAGACAUAAGGACAGUACUUAAUCGAUUUGGUACCAAUUUUGGGCAUAGUGAGGGUGCUAAUCCUUCCUCAUGCGUAAUUGGCUCCCGAACCUAUUUGCUCAAAUUUACCUAGGCCAAAAUUGAUUUAAAUGAAAUAAAAUAUUUUAUUAGGCGAUCUAAUCUCUCCUAAACAAAAAGGAUUGGUGGCGACUCCACGCUUUGUUUUAAAAGUCGAUCCCCAUUUUCGUUUUCUCAAAAUCAAAAACAUGGUUUCGAUAGCUUGGCGACUCCACUGGGGAGUUUGAGAGUCUAGCCAUAAAUUGAUUGAUUUUUGUCCUUUUUCGAAAAUUGAAAACUUGUUUUAAACUUAUGAUCCCUUCAUUACAUUUCCUCCGUUUUUGUUACGGUUUUCAUAAUUUUAUUCAUAUUUUUUUUAUUGCUUCGGGUUUUUUUUACGCAUAUAUCAUUACACAUUACAUUGCAUGACCGUUGUGGUCACACCUUUAAGUGGGAGUGAGAAGCUAUGCCUUCGUGAGGUUUUCACCUCCGCAUGGGCUAGUGGGUUGCUUCUAGGAUACAUCCGUACUUAUGAUUUCGUAAGAUUUUCAUCUCCGCAUGGUCAUAGGGAAAUGUGUUCCCCUUUCUCUGUACUAACGUGUUUUGUUGAUGACUGCAUUGCAUUACAUCUUCAUAGAAAGGAGGUGUUAACUCAUAUUUGAUUGCUAAAUAGAACAGUUUGUCAUAAGAAAAUGAAUUCCUUGAUAAAGUGGAUUAUAAUACGGUUGUCUAAAUAUGGUCCAAGUAAACAAAUGGAAAAAGGCCAAUGAUUCGUAGAGGAAAACAAGUCUUUACCUAAAGACUCAGGCUGAUAAAGAUUGUUCGAGAGCCGUUGCGUCCCGAUUUCUUGAAAAAGCUAAUCAACAUCGCAAGGAUAAUAAAUCACGGUCUUGAUCAAGCAGAAAGGAAUUAGUGAAGACAUUUAUUGAAAGCUUGAGAGAUUUGACUUCUAUGAAGAAAAGAGACCGGUGUCUUCGUCUGGAAUAUGAAAGCAAGGCCGCAUAUGUAAUCCGUUUUAUGUAAAGAAAUUUGUUUUCUAAAAAAGUUGUUCUAAUGGAAUUGAAUUCAGAGUCAACGCCUCUCUUUCUUUUGCAUUCAUUCCAUGCAUUUGCAUUGCAUCGCAUUAGAUUUUCCCAAAAGAACCUUAAUUAGGUAAAAUUAUUUUAGAACCGACAAAGGAUAUGGACCAAAGGUUGGAAAGAAUAGAGCAAAGGCAAAUACAGAUGCAACAGCAAUUGAUCAAAAUUCAACAAGAUAUACGGGAACAAAUGCUAGAAUUCUAGAGAAAUAUGAUGGGCCAGUUAACCCAGUUACUAGCCGGAGGACUUGAAAAAAGGAGUGGCCUAGUGGUCAACAGUGGGGAUGAUAACGAAGACCUUAUCUAUUCCCUAGGUUUUACCCCAAUAAGCGUCCUGACCCAACCAGACGCGUAUCCGCAAUGGAUACCAGUCAUUAUCAGACCUCAAUAUUAGACUAAUACAUCGACACUAUUAAACUUCUCGAUGGGUUCAGGUUUUAACCCGAAGGAUGAUCGAACCAAACCAGUUGUUCUGGCAGAAACGAAAGAAGGAGGAGAGUAGACUUUAAAGGCCUCGAAGAAGAAGGAAA